AUUGACCGCUGGCGGCAGGCCUAACACAUGCAAGUCGCACGAGUGGCGGACGGGUGAGUAAUGUCUGGGAAACUGCCUGAUGGCGGGGGAUAACUACUGGAAACGGUAGCUAAUACCGCAUACCAUCAGAUGUGCCCAGAUGGGAUUGGCUAGUGGGUGGGGUAACGGCGCACCAAGGCGACGAUCCCUAGCUGGUCUGAGAGGAUGACCAGCCACACGGGAACUGAGACACGGUCCAGACUCCUACGGGAGUCAGCAGUGGGGAAUAUUGCACAAUGGGCGCAAGCCUGAUGCAGCCAUGCCGCGUGUAUGAAGAAGGCCUUCGUGUUGUAAAGUACUUUCAGCGUGGAGGCGUUACCCGCAGAAGAAGCACCGGCUAACUCCGUGCCAGCAGCCGCGGUAAUUC
rnacentral:rRNA from 1 species